rnacentral:rRNA from 1 species
UACGAAGGGGGCUAGCGUUGUUCGGAAUUACUGGGCGUAAAGAGUGUGUAGGCGGUGCUCUAAGUUCGGUGUGAAAUCUCCCGGCUUAACUGGGAGGUGCGCCGGAAACUGGAGUGCUCGAGCGUGGGAGAGGAAAGCGGAAUUCCUGGUGUAGCGGUGAAAUGCGUAGAUAUCAGGAGGAACACCUGCGGUGUAGACGGCUUUCUGGACCAUUGCUGACGCUGAGACACGAAAGCGUGGGUAGCAAACAGG